UUAAGUUAUUAAGGGCGCACGGUGGAUGCCUUGGCACUAGAAGCCGAUGAAGGACGUUACUAACGACGAUAUGCUUUGGGGAGCUGUAAGUAAGCUUUGAUCCAGAGAUUUCCGAAUGGGGAAACCCAGCAUGAGUUAUGUCAUGUUAUCGAUAUGUGAAUACAUAGCAUAUCAGAAGGCACACCCGGAGAACUGAAACAUCUUAGUACCCGGAGGAAGAGAAAGAAAAUUCGAUUCCCUUAGUAGCGGCGAGCGAAACGGGAAGAGCCCAAACCAACAAGCUUGCUUGUUGGGGUUGUAGGACACUCUAUACGGAGUUACAAAGGACGACAUUAGACGAAUUAUCUGGAAAGAUGAAUCAAAGAAGGUAAUAAUCCUGUAGUCGAAAAUGUUGUCUCUCUUGAGUGGAUCCUGAGUACGACGGAGCACGUGAAAUUCCGUCGGAAUCUGGGAGGACCAUCUCCUAAGGCUAAAUACUCUCUAGUGACCGAUAGUGAACCAGUACCGUGAGGGAAAGGUGAAAAGCACCCCGGAAGGGGAGUGAAAUAGAACCUGAAACCGUGUGCUUACAAGUAGUCAGAGCCCGUUAAUGGGUGAUGGCGUGCCUUUUGUAGAAUGAACCGGCGAGUUACGAUUUGAUGCAAGGUUAAGCAGUAAAUGUGGAGCCGUAGCGAAAGCGAGUCUGAAUAGGGCGUUUAGUAUUUGGUCGUAGACCCGAAACCAGGUGAUCUACCCUUGGUCAGGUUGAAGUUCAGGUAACACUGAAUGGAGGACCGAACCGACUUACGUUGAAAAGUGAGCGGAUGAACUGAGGGUAGCGGAGAAAUUCCAAUCGAACCUGGAGAUAGCUGGUUCUCUCCGAAAUAGCUUUAGGGCUAGCCUCAAGUGAUGAUUAUUGGAGGUAGAGCACUGUUUGGACGAGGGGCCCCUCUCGGGUUACCGAAUUCAGACAAACUCCGAAUGCCAAUUAAUUUAACUUGGGAGUCAGAACAUGGGUGAUAAGGUCCGUGUUCGAAAGGGAAACAGCCCAGACCACCAGCUAAGGUCCCAAAAUAUAUGUUAAGUGGAAAAGGAUGUGGCGUUGCCCAGACAACUAGGAUGUUGGCUUAGAAGCAGCCAUCAUUUAAAGAGUGCGUAAUAGCUCACUAGUCGAGUGACACUGCGCCGAAAAUGUACCGGGGCUAAACAUAUUACCGAAGCUGUGGAUUGUCCUUUGGACAAUGGUAGGAGAGCGUUCUAAGGGCGUUGAAGCAUGAUCGUAAGGACAUGUGGAGCGCUUAGAAGUGAGAAUGCCGGUGUGAGUAGCGAAAGACGGGUGAGAAUCCCGUCCACCGAUUGACUAAGGUUUCCAGAGGAAGGCUCGUCCGCUCUGGGUUAGUCGGGUACUAAGCUGAGGCCGACAGGCGUAGGCGAUGGAUAACAGGUUGAUAUUCCUGUACCACCUAUAAUCGUUUUAAUCGAUGGGGGGACGCAGUAGGAUAGGCGAAGCGUGCGAUUGGAUUGCACGUCUAAGCAGUAAGGCUGAGUAUUAGGCAAAUCCGGUACUCGUUAAGGCUGAGCUGUGAUGGGGAGAAGACAUUGUGUCUUCGAGUCGUUGAUUUCACACUGCCGAGAAAAGCCUCUAGAUAGAAAAUAGGUGCCCGUACCGCAAACCGACACAGGUAGUCAAGAUGAGAAUUCUAAGGUGAGCGAGCGAACUCUCGUUAAGGAACUCGGCAAAAUGACCCCGUAACUUCGGGAGAAGGGGUGCUCUUUAGGGUUAACGCCCAGAAGAGCCGCAGUGAAUAGGCCCAAGCGACUGUUUAUCAAAAACACAGGUCUCUGCUAAACCGUAAGGUGAUGUAUAGGGGCUGACGCCUGCCCGGUGCUGGAAGGUUAAGAGGAGUGGUUAGCUUCUGCGAAGCUACGAAUCGAAGCCCCAGUAAACGGCGGCCGUAACUAUAACGGUCCUAAGGUAGCGAAAUUCCUUGUCGGGUAAGUUCCGACCCGCACGAAAGGCGUAACGAUUUGGGCACUGUCUCAACGAGAGACUCGGUGAAAUCAUAGUACCUGUGAAGAUGCAGGUUACCCGCGACAGGACGGAAAGACCCCGUGGAGCUUUACUGUAGCCUGAUAUUGAAAUUCGGCACAGCUUGUACAGGAUAGGUAGGAGCCUUUGAAACGUGAGCGCUAGCUUACGUGGAGGCGCUGGUGGGAUACUACCCUAGCUGUGUUGGCUUUCUAACCCGCACCACUUAUCGUGGUGGGAGACAGUGUCAGGCGGGCAGUUUGACUGGGGCGGUCGCCUCCUAAAAGGUAACGGAGGCGCUCAAAGGUUCCCUCAGAAUGGUUGGAAAUCAUUCAUAGAGUGUAAAGGCAUAAGGGAGCUUGACUGCGAGACCUACAAGUCGAGCAGGGUCGAAAGACGGACUUAGUGAUCCGGUGGUUCCGCAUGGAAGGGCCAUCGCUCAACGGAUAAAAGCUACCCCGGGGAUAACAGGCUUAUCUCCCCCAAGAGUUCACAUCGACGGGGAGGUUUGGCACCUCGAUGUCGGCUCAUCGCAUCCUGGGGCUGUAGUCGGUCCCAAGGGUUGGGCUGUUCGCCCAUUAAAGCGGUACGCGAGCUGGGUUCAGAACGUCGUGAGACAGUUCGGUCCCUAUCCGUCGUGGGCGUAGGAAAUUUGAGAGGAGCUGUCCUUAGUACGAGAGGACCGGGAUGGACAUACCUCUGGUGUACCAGUUGUCGUGCCAACGGCAUAGCUGGGUAGCUAUGUGUGGACGGGAUAAGUGCUGAAAGCAUCUAAGCAUGAAGCCCCCCUCAAGAUGAGAUUUCCCAACUUCGGUUAUAAGAUCCCUCAAAGAUGAUGAGGUUAAUAGGUUCGAGGUGGAAGCAUGGUGACAUGUGGAGCUGACGAAUACUAAUCGAUCGAAGACUUAAUCAA
rnacentral:rRNA from 1 species